GAGGCUUUGCCAGGUUCGGCCGCCGAAAGUGAGGAUCGGCCGCCGAACAUGGUGGGGUUUUGGGAGCGCUUUAGGCCUCCGAAAGCCUUGUUUGAAAGACUCAAGGUUCGGCCGCCGAACCUCAUGUUCGGCCGCCGAACAUGCAUGAGAUGUGGGGGCACGUUAGGCCGCCGAAAGGUGACAGAACCUGCCCUAUAAGAGACCCCGUGACCGAAACAGGCGAGGUUUUCUCUCCCAUUUCGGCCGACGGUAAGCUUUAGCCCUCCUAUGGUCAUUUUAAGUGUUUUCCCUCAAAUCCUUUAGAUCUUAACAAGUUACAUCUUGUUUUUGAAGAGUUUCAAAGUUUAAGCAAGUUUUGGAGCUUUGAGGUUCAAGAACUCGAAUCUCCCCAUUUUCAAGCUAGGAUCGUUUCUCUCUCGAUCUUCAAGAGGUAAGAGCCGAUCUCUAGUUCUAUAUGUGUUUUAAGUAAGUUUUAUGCAAGUUUUUGGGGUAGAAAUGCAUGAGUAGGCUUGAUGGGUUUUUAUGAAAAAUCCAUGGUUUUAAUGUGUGUUUAUGUGCAAUGUGGCUUGCUUGUGUGUUGUANNNNN
rnacentral:lncRNA from 1 species